rnacentral:rRNA from 1 species
UACGUAGGUGGCAAGCGUUGUCCGGAUUUAUUGGGUUUAAAGGGUGCGUAGGCGGCUUGUUAAGUCAGUGGUUAAAUCGUGUGGCUCAACCAUACUUCGCCAUUGAUACUGACAGGCUAGAAUAUGUCCGAGGAUACUGGAAUGAAUGGUGUAGCGGUGAAAUGCAUAGAUAUCAUUCAGAACACCGAUUGCGAAGGCAGGUAUCUGGGGCGUGAUUGACGCUGAGGCACGAAAGUGUGGGGAGCAAACAGG